UGAACGGUUGGAUGAAUCUAAUGCUUCAAACAUAGCCACGUGUCUCUAUUUUUUUCUCAAAUAAAAAAAUAAAAAAUAAAAAAUGGUAAACCUCUCAUUGUACCACCGUCCUUGACUCACACCACCACCUUCGUCAUUUAAUCGACCGUCAUUGUUGCAUCCCCACCAGCGUUCACUUGCAAAUGUCGUUGUCAUUAAAUCAAUCUUAAGAUUUAGAUGAUACUGUUUUUUAAUUUUAAAUAAAAAUGAAAGGACAAAUUGAACACUGUGGAUAGCAUUUUCAUCUCCUCCACCACUCUACGAGAGUCCAAGAUAAUCGACAAAAUGUGACCAUCAUGCACUCCGACCACCGGUGCCAUCUCAAUCGGACAUUGGAAAUAGUCUGAGAAUGUUUUUGUUGCAGCUGCUACAAGGUGAGAGCACAUAUGAUAUAGGUCAACGAUGAUGGCAGAUGAACCGUAGUGGAGAUGCAACAAUGGUCGAUUUAACGACGGAGGCGGUGGUGUGAGUCAACGAGGGUGAUACAAUGGAGGUUGAUUUGGAUGUCUAACUUUGUGGCUGGAAAGGUACUUUCCCUUUCAUUCUUUGUGAACGGUUGGAUGAAUCUAAUGCUUCAAACAUAGCCACGUGUCUCUAUUUUUUUCUCAAAUAAAAAAAUAAAAAAUAAAAAAUGGUAAACCUCUCAUUGUACCACCGUCCUUGACUCACACCACCACCUUCGUCAUUUAAUCGACCGUCAUUGUUGCAUCCCCACCAGCGUUCACUUGCAAAUGUCGUUGUCAUUAAAUCAAUCUUAAGAUUUAGAUGAUACUGUUUUUUAAUUUUAAAUAAAAAUGAAAGGACAAAUUGAACACUGUGGAUAGCAUUUUCAUCUCCUCCACCACUCUACGAGAGUCCAAGAUAAUCGACAAAAUGUGACCAUCAUGCACUCCGACCACCGGUGCCAUCUCAAUC
rnacentral:lncRNA from 1 species